rnacentral:rRNA from 1 species
AGAGUUUGAUCAUGGCUCAGAACGAACGCUGGCGGCAUGCCUAACACAUGCAAGUCGAACGAAGGCUUCGGCCUUAGUGGCGCACGGGUGAGUAACGCGUGGGAACCUGCCCUUUGGUUCGGAAUAACUCCGGGAAACUGGAGCUAAUACCGGAUGAGCCCAUUUGCCGUGGAGGUUGAUGGGGAAAGAUUUAUCGCCGAAGGAGGGGCCCGCGUCCGAUUAGGUAGUUGGUGGGGUAAAGGCCUACCAAGCCUACGAUCGGUAGCUGGUCUGAGAGGAUGAUCAGCCACACUGGGACUGAGACACGGCCCAGACUCCUACGGGAGGCAGCAGUGGGGAAUAUUGGACAAUGGGGGCACCCUGAUCCAGCAAGCCGCGUGAGUGAUGAAGGCCUUAGGGUUGUAAAGCUCUUUCGCACGCGACGAUGAUGACGGUAGCGUGAGAAGAAGCCCCGGCUAACUUCGUGCCAGCAGCCGCGGUAAUACGAAGGGGGCUAGCGUUGUUCGGAAUUACUGGAGCGUAAAGGGCGCGUAGGCGGCUG